CCAGCCAAUCCGCUUCCUCGAGAUGGAAUGCUAACCUCCUCUUUUCUUUCCCGCCAGCUACGAUUCAAAAGGACGAACCGCUGUCAUGAUUUUGCCCACUAAUGAAGAUCUAAUCGAUUAAUCCAGACCGUCCAUCGCGAGAAGAAGAGAUCAAUGACCGAAAAAAGGGUCGGAUCUCACGAUGUAAGGUUUGGGUUUGAACACAAGCCCAGGCCCAACCUACCUAACUGCAAACACCAAUCGGAUAGGAGAAAUCCACGUCCCCUUUGUUCAGCUGGAAAAUAGAGUCCUAGUCACACCAACCUAACGGAAAUGGUUCCGCCCUUGGCUGAAAGCGGAAAGAAUCUGAAUCUUUCCGUUUUAAGCGCUGGUGCAAUCUCAACCCUUCCCUGCCUUCUAGAAGAGUCUCACGAUGAAUCUGGAAUGCUGGAUCUAGGGCUGCCAGGAGCCUAGUAGCGAUCAGACAAUUUGACGAGCUUUUAAUCCAAGUCAACCGAAGCAGCUAUGACAAUGUGAUCGGUUAGCUUUCAUAUCUCAAAGUAAAUCGAAAAGCAACCUGAGGUGAUUCCAUCUCUUGGAAAGUAUGCUUCAAAUUUCUUGGUUUUUCUUGUUGUAAUUCUCAAGAGAUUUCAAUAACUCUUAAUGCUUCAGUUGCUUUUUGAAUCUCAAUCCAUAACUGCAAGCA